rnacentral:rRNA from 1 species
ACUCAAAUGAAUAGACGGGGGCCCGCACAAGCGGUGGAGCAUGUUGUUUAAUUCGAUGCAUCGCGAAGAACCUUACCUGGGCUUGACAUCUGGGGAAUCCCCUUGAAAGAGGGGAGUGCCUUCGGGAGCCCCAAGACAGGUGUUGCAUGGCUGUCGUCAGCUCGUGUCGUGAGAUGUUGGGUUAAGUCCCGCAACGAGCGCAACCCUUGUCCUUAGUUGCCAACGAGUAAUGUCGGGAACUCUAAGGAGACUGCCGGUGUUAAACCGGAGGAAGGUGGGGAUGACGUCAAGUCCUCAUGGCCUUUAUGCCCAGGGCUACAGACGUGCUACAAUGGUCGGUACAAAGGGCAGCGACAACGCGAGUUGAAGCAAAUCCCAAAAAGCCGAUCUCAGUCCGGAUUGAAGUCUGCAACUCGACUUCAUGAAGUUGGAAUCGCUAGUAAUCGCGGAUCAGAACGCCGCGGUGAAUACGUUCCCGGGCCUUGUACACACCGCCCGU